rnacentral:rRNA from 1 species
UACGAAGGGGGCUAGCGUUGUUCGGAUUUACUGGGCGUAAAGCGCACGUAGGCGGAUCUUUAAGUCAGAGGUGAAAUCCCAAGGCUCAACCUUGGAACUGCCUUUGAUACUGGGGAUCUUGAGUCCGGGAGAGGUGAGUGGAACUGCGAGUGUAGAGGUGAAAUUCGUAGAUAUUCGCAAGAACACCAGUGGCGAAGGCGGCUCACUGGCCCGGUACUGACGC